rnacentral:rRNA from 1 species
CCUACGAGCGGCAGCAGUGGGGAAUAUUGCACAAUGGGGGAAACCCUGAUGCAGCGACGCCGCGUGAGGGAAGAAGUAAUUCGUUAUGUAAAGCCCUAUCAGCAGGGAAGAAAAUGACGGUACUUGAGCACGAAGCCUCGGCUAACUACGUGCCAGCAGCCGCGGUAAUACGUAGGGGGCAAGCGUUAUCCGGAUUUACUGGGUGUAAAGGGAGCGUAGACGGCAGUGCAAGUCUGGAGUGAAAGGCGGGGGGUCAACCCCCGGACUGCUCUGGAAACUGUACGGCUGGAGUGCAGGAGAGGUAAGUGGAAUUCCUGGUGUAGCGGUGAAAUGCGUAGAUAUUAGGAAGAACCCCAGUGGCGAAGGCGGCUUACUGGACUGUAACUGACGUUGAGGCUCGAAAGCGUGGGGAGCGAACAGGAUUAGAUACCCGAGUAGUC